ACAGUGGACGCGAGCAUCUUUAAUUGUUUGUGAAUGUAAGUGUGUAAGAGCACACGGUGGAUGCCUUGGCACCAAGAGCCGAUGAAGGACGUAGUAGGCUGCGAUAAGCCUCGGGGAGCUGCCAAACGAGCUGUGAUCCGAGGGUGUCCGAAUGGGGAAACCCAGCACGCGUGAUGGCGUGUUACCCGCAUCUGAAUACAUAGGGUGUGUGGAGGGAACGCGGGGAAGUGAAACAUCUCAGUACCCGCAGGAAGAGAAAACAAUAGUGAUUCCGUCAGUAGCGGCGAGCGAACGCGGAUCAGGCUAAACCGCAUGCGUGUGAUACCCGGCAGGGGUUGCGUGUGUGGUGUUGUGGGGCAUGAUGUCCCGGUUCUGCCGGACCGGGCGCUGAUUGAUCGCGGGUUAGGGGAACGACUUGGAAGGGUCGGCCGGAGAGGGUGAGAGUCCCGUACCUGAAAACCUUGCGGCGGGGCGAUUUGUGUUCCCAAGUAGCAGCGGGCCCGUGAAAUCUGCUGUGAAUCUGCCGGGACCACCCGGUAAGCCUAAAUACUUCUUGGUGACCGAUAGCGGAUUAGUACCGUGAGGGAAUGGUGAAAAGUACCCCGGGAGGGGAGUGAAAUAGUACCUGAAACCGUGUGCUUACAAUCCGUCAGAGGCUUUAGGGCUGAUGGCGUGCCUUUUGAAGAAUGAGCCUGCGAGUUAGUGGUAUGUCGCGAGGUUAACCCGUGUGGGGAAGCCGUAGCGAAAGCGAGUCCUAAUAGGGCGUUUCAGUGGCAUGCUCUAGACCCGAAGCGGAGUGAUCUACCCAUGGCCAGUGUGAAGCGACGGUAAGACGUCGUGGAGNACUGUAGUGGCAUGCUCUAGACCCGAAGCGGAGUGAUCUACCCAUGGCCAGUGUGAAGCGACGGUAAGACGUCGUGGAGGCGCGAACCCACUUAGGUUGAAAACUGAGGGGAUGAGUUGUGGGUAGGGGUGAAAGGCCAAUCAAACUCCGUGAUAGCUGGUUCUCCCCGAAAUGCAUUUAGGUGCAGCGUCGCAUGUUUCACCUCGGAGGUAGAGCUACUGGAUGGCCGAUGGGCCCUACAAGGUUACUGACGUCAGCCAAACUCCGAAUGCCGAGGUGUGAGAGUGCGGCAGUGAGACUGUGGGGGAUAAGCUUCAUAGUCGAGAGGGAAACAGCCCAGAUCGCCGGCUAAGGCCCCUAAGCGUGUACUAAGUGGAAAAGGAUGUGGGAUCGCUGAGACAGCCAGGAGGUUGGCUUAGAAGCAGCCACCCUUGAAAGAGUGCGUAAUAGCUCACUGGUCAAGUGGUCCUGCGCCGACAAUUUAGCGGGGCUCAAGUACACCGCCGAAGCCGCGGCAUUCAUACAAUA
rnacentral:rRNA from 1 species